UACGUAGGGGGCAAGCGUUGUCCGGAUUUACUGGGCGUAAAGAGCGCGUAGGCGGGAGAGCAAGUCCGGUGUGAAAGCCCCCGGCUCAAACCCGGGGGAAGGUCGCUGGAAAACUGCUCUUCUUGAGGUGGACAGAGGGAAGUGGAAUUCCGUGGUGAUAGCGGGUGAAAUGCGUAGAUAUCAGGAGGAACACCCAUGGCGAAGGCAGCUUCCUGGGUCCAAUCUGACGCUGAGGCGACGAAAGCGUGGGGGAGCGAACAGG
rnacentral:rRNA from 1 species